UACGUAGGGUGCAAGCGUUGUCCGGAAUUAUUGGGCGUAAAGAGCUCGUAGGCGGUCUGUCGCGUCGGAUGUGAAAAUCCAGGGCUCAACCCUGGACCUGCAUUCGAUACGGGCAGACUAGAGUUCGGUAGGGGAGACUGGAAUUCCUGGUGUAGCGGUGAAAUGCGCAGAUAUCAGGAAGAACACCUAUGGCGAAGGCAGCUCUCUGGGACGGUACUGACGCUGAGACGCGAAAGCGUGGGGAGCGAACAGG
rnacentral:rRNA from 1 species